UACGGGGGGAGCAAGCGUUGUUCGGAUUUACUGGGCGUAAAGGGCGCGUAGGCGGCACCGCAAGUCGACUGUGAAAUCUCCGGGCUUAACUCGGAAAGGUCAGCCGAUACUGCGGGGCUAGAGUGCAGAAGGGGCAACUGGAAUUCUCGGUGUAGCGGUGAAAUGCGUAGAUAUCAGGAGGAACACCGGUGGCGAAGGCGGGUCUCUGGGCAGUAACUGACGCUGAGGAGCGAAAGCGUGGGGAGCGAACAGG
rnacentral:rRNA from 1 species